CAGUCGCCGCGGGAACACAGAGGGUGCGAGCGUUAAUCGGAUUUACUGGGCGUAAAGCGUGCGUAGGAGGCUUCUUAAGUCGGAUGUGAAAUCCCUGAGCUUAACUUAGGAAUUGCAUUCGAUACUGGGAAGCUAGAGUAUGGGAGAGGAUGGUAGAAUUCCAGGUGUAGCGGUGAAAUGCGUAGAGAUCUGGAGGAAUACCGAUGGCGAAGGCAGCCAUCUGGCCUAAUACUGACGCUGAGGUACGAAAGCAUGGGGAGCAAACAGGAUUAGAUACCCCGUAGUCCCUGUCUCUUAUACA
rnacentral:rRNA from 1 species